rnacentral:rRNA from 1 species
CGUAGGGUGCAAGCGUUGUCCGGAAUUAUUGGGCGUAAAGAGCUCGUAGGCGGUCUGUUGCGUCGGCUGUGAAAACCCGGGGCUCAACCCCGGGCCUGCAGCCGAUACGGGCAGACUAGAGUUCGGCAGGGGAGACUGGAAUUCCUGGUGUAGCGGUGAAAUGCGCAGAUAUCAGGAGGAACACCGGUGGCGAAGGCGGGUCUCUGGGCCGAUACUGACGCUGAGGAGCGAAAGCGUGGGGAGCAAACAGGAUUAGAUACCCUGGUAGUCCACGCCGUAAACGUUGGGCGCUAGGUGUGGGUUCCCUUCCACGGGAUCCGUGCCGCAGCUAACGCAUUAAGCGCCCCGCCUGGGGAGUACGGCCGCAAGGCUA